AUCCAACCGACGAAUUCCAGAUAAAACGAAACGCACGUCCUGGAU
rfam:Schistosoma mattheei strain Denwood, Zambia genome assembly, scaffold: SMTD_scaffold0002304